AAUUCUCAACCACACAAGUUGUGUUAAAACGACUUGAGCGGCUUGGAUGUGGGACUGUUGCUGGCUUUUCUAGUCGGCUGUCCUGAAAUGCAUUAGCACGGUUUUCAUUUACCAGUAUAUUUGGUGUGAUAUGCAUCUACGCCAUUUGGGAAAUGAAAUUGAGCUUCUAACUGUCCUUUUAGGACAACUUUAUGACA
rnacentral:misc_RNA from 1 species